rnacentral:rRNA from 1 species
UGUAUCAAGGUUUCCGUAGGUGAACCUGCGGAAGGAUCAUUA